AUGAAUGGGGGAGGGGCAGAGAGAGAGGGAGACACAGAAUCAGAAACAGGCUCCAGGCUCUGGACCAUCAGCCCAGAGCCCAACGUGGGGCUCGAACUCAGGGACCGCGAGAUCGUGACCUGGCCAAAGUCGGACGCCCAACCGACUGCGCCACCCAGGCGCCCCAAAGUUGUAGUAACUCUUAGUGAAACUGAUUCAUCUCGAUCUUCAAGACUGGAAGUCAUCCAAAGACAGAGGCUUCCCGAGGAAUUCAGGAGGCACAAACCAAUGGCAAGAGGACCUGACAGGGAGAUCCUUCCAUGGAGAGGAGCCGCAUUCAGUCGGGAAGUGAAGACACCAAAUGUUGACUCUCGGGACCUUCUAGAAGAAUCAGCUGGGACCCACUCUCCGAGUCCUGCCAGAACCAGAGCCAGAGGUAAAAACACAAUGUGCUCUCCACAUCAUACAUGUUUUUAUUAAUUUUCAGUGGGUAUUUUUUUCCCAACAAUGUUGUAGUCGUUGAAAACAACUGAAAACCUGAUAGGUACCUUGUGUCAGGCACUUCCCGUUAUUUGAAUAUUCAAUAUUAUUCCUGCGACAGAAUUUGUUACAGCUAUCCUUUCUUGUCUUUGUUGUAAGAAAUCUCAUCAGUAAUAUCUUAAAAACAUACUCGUUACCUUAUCUCCUUUUCAGUUGAGAUUUGGCAUGUUUUCUAAUUUCUCAUGGACUCGUGAAAAACUGAAAUACUUUUAAAUUGAUUGCAGUUUUUACUAAAAGCUGAUUCACGGCAUCCCUCUGACUGCUGCUUGUCAAAGAACUUACCAAGACCACUUCUCAGUGUGGGCAAGAUUGUACUAAGCAAACACUGUGAAUCAAUUUUAGAAGAAAAAGCCUGAUGAUACUUUGUCUUUACGAAAAUUGAUGCUUAGAUCCCCUGUCUGAUACACUUCCGCUUUUUUCUAUUUUUCUUUUUUUGUCCAUUUUCUCAUUCAGAGAUUCGUAGACCUGCUUCAGUUUUACAUUCACCACCCACUUUAUGCUGGUGGACUAUUUUUCGAAUAUGUUGUUGGAUUCUGUUUGCUAAAUCUUGGUUGAGGACAUUUGCAUCUGUGUGCAUGAAUGAUAUGGACCUGUAGUUUUGUUUUUUCAUGGUGUUUUUAUCUGGUUUUUGGUAUCAGGGUAAUGCUGGUCUCAUAGAAUUUAUUUGGGUAUUUUCCUUCCUGUUCCAUUUUCUGGAACAGUUUGACAAAUAUAGGCACCAACUUUUCUUCAGAUGUUUGAUAGAAUGUGCUUGUGAAGUCGUCUGGUCCUGGACUGUUGUCUGUUAGGU
rnacentral:lncRNA from 1 species